rnacentral:misc_RNA from 1 species
AACGCACCUUGCGCUCCUUGGUAUUCCGAGGAGCAUGCCUGUUUGAGUGUCAUUAAAUUCUCAACCUAACACCUGUUUUGCGAUGGGUUUUGUUAGGCUUGGAUAUGGGGGCUUGCAGGUCCGCUCUUUUGUGGUCUGCUCCUCUGAAAUGCAUUAGUGGGUUUGUGCCCCUCAUCUAUUGGUGUGAUAAUUAUCUACGCCGUGGGUGAUGGAUUGGACAUCAAUGAACCUGCUCAUAACCGUCCGUCUCGGACAACUUUGAUCAUUUUGACCUCAAAUCAGGUAAGACUACCCGCUGAACUUAA